UACAGAGGUGGCAAGCGUUGUUCGGAAUUACUGGGCGUAAAGGGCGCGUAGGCGGUCUUGUCAGUCCCUUGUGAAAUCCCCCGGCUCAACUGGGGAACUGCACGGGAAACAGCAGGGCUUGAGUUCGGGAGAGGGAAGCGGAAUUCCGGGUGUAGCGGUGAAAUGCGUAGAUAUCUGGAGGAACACCGGUGGCGAAGGCGGCAUUCUGGACCGACAUUGACGCUGAGGCGCGAAAGCCAGGGGAGCAAACGGG
rnacentral:rRNA from 1 species